GAUGAAGAACGUAGCGAAAUGCGAUAAGUAAUGUGAAUUGCAGAAUUCAGUGAAUCAUCGAAUCUUUGAACGCACAUUGCGCCCCCUGGCAUUCCGGGGGGCAUGCCUGUUCGAGCGUCAUUACAACCCUCAAGCUCUGCUUGGUAUUGGGCUCUGCUGGGACCGGCAGGCCUUAAAAUCAGUGGCGGCGCCACUCGGCUUCAAGCGUAGUAAUUCUUCUCGCUUCGGAGACCCGGGUGCGUGCUAGCCAGCAACCCCCAACUUUCUUAGGUUGACCUCGGAUCAGGUAGGGAUCCCCGCUGAACUUAAGCAUAUCAAUACGCGGAGGA
rnacentral:misc_RNA from 1 species